rnacentral:rRNA from 1 species
GACGAACGCUGGCGGCGUGGAUUAGGCAUGCAAGUCGAACGGUAUCAUCCUUUCGGGGGUGAGAGAGUGGCGAACUGGUGAGUAACACGUAGGUUAUCUACCCUCAAGAUGGGGACAACCCAGGGAAACUUGGGCUAAUACCGGAUGUGAGCAACUUUUAGUUGUUUGAAAGGUGGCGUAAGCUGUCGCUUGGGGAUGAGCCUGCGUCCUAUUAGUUAGUUGGUGAGGUAACGGCUCACCUAGGCAAUGAUAGGUAGGCGGCCUUAACGGGUGGUCGCCCACACUGGGAUUGAGAUACGGCCCAGACUCCUACGGGAGGCAGCAGUCGAGAAUAGUCUACAAUGGUCGGAAGACUGAUAGUGCGACGCCGCGUGAACGAUGAAUCCCUUCGGGGUGUAAAGUUCUUUUAUAUGUGAGCAGUGCUUCUUAUAUUAACAGUAUGGGGAAAGAGAUAUUAGACAUAUAGAAUAAGCAACGGCUAACUCCGUGCCAGCACGCCGAGGUAAA